rnacentral:rRNA from 1 species
CAGUGGUGAAAUAUUCGGGCUCAACCGGGAUACUGCCAUUGAUACUGUAUAGCUGGAAUAUGGUUGCUGUGGGUGGAAUGCGUGGUGUAGCGGUGAAAUGCAUAGAUAUCACACAGAAUAUCGAUUGCGAAGGCAACUCACAAAGCCAUUAUUGACGCUGAUGCACGAAAGUGUGGGGAUCAAACAGGAUUAGAUACCCUGGUAGUCCACACUGUAAACGAUGAUAACUAGCUGUCGGCGAUAGAUAGUCGGUGGCUAAGCGAAAGCGAUAAGUUAUCCACCUGGGGAGUACGACCGCAAGGUUGAAACUCAAAGGAAUUGACGGGGGCCCGCACAAGCGGAGGAACAUGUGGUUUAAUUCGAUGAUACGCGAGGAACCUUACCCGGGCUCGAACGGUGCAGGAAUAUGGUAGAGAUAUCAUAGCUAGCAAUAGUCUGUAUCGAGGUGCUGCAUGGUUGUCGUCAGCUCGUGCCGUGAGGUGUCGGCUUAAGUGCCAUAACGAGCGCAACCCUUGUCGUUAGUUACCAUCAAGUAAAGUUGGGGACUCUAGCGAGACUGCCACCGUAAGGUGUGAGGAAGGGGGGGAUGACGUCAAAUCAGCACGGCCCUUACGUCCGGGGCGACACACGUGUUACAAUGGUAGGUACAGAGGGGCGCUAUCCAGUGAUGGAGUGCGAAUCUCAAAAACCUAUCUCAGUUCGGAUUGGAGUCUGCAACUCGACUCCAUGAAGUUGGAUUCGCUAGUAAUCGCGCAUCAGCCAUGGCGCGGUGAAUACGUUCCCGGGCCUUGUACACACCGCCCGUCAAGCCAUGGAAGCCGGGGGUGCCUGAAGUUCGUGACCGCAAGGAGCGACCUAGGGCAAAACUGGUAACUGGGGCUAAGUCGUAACAAGGUAACC